CAAAAGGAAACUUAAAACAAAUAAACAAACGGCUUUUCAAGUACUGCAUUGCAAUGGAAAUAUCAAUGAGGAGAUUUGCGUUUUUAUUGUUUGUUACUUGGAAAUCAAACGCAUUUGAUUUACAAUGUCCAACGAAUGGCCAUAGAUUACAGAGAGUAAAAUAUGUGUGCAAAAAUUCACCAGCUAGUUACUACUCGUGCUUGUUUGACCAGCGACAAAAUAUUUUUAAUGAAUCUUGCAAGAUACCUUCUACUUUUGUAAGACCAAGACAAAAGUAUGUAAUCAGUGUUCUACGAAGAAAUACAAACUGUUCAACAAAGAGAUUCUAGCCAUUUAAAUUUUGGUCGCAUGAGCUGAGUCUUUGUGUUUUUAAAAAAUCCCAAUGUAGAGGAAUUGGACAAAUUCUUUACAGCAACGACUCAUUGCUUGAAGAUAACAAAUGUCGAUGUGAUCACUACAGUGGGUAUUCCUUUCUGCAAGAACCAAAACAUCUAUGUUAUUGUGUUCCAUCUAUGGAAGAUUGUACGUGUUACCAAAAGCGAUGUCCAAUCAAUUAUAAAUUAUCAUCAGA